rnacentral:lncRNA from 1 species
GGAUGUAGAAGGGGAAGGGCAAAGCCAGGAUAAAUAGGCUUAGUGGUAUUGAUUUUAAGUGAAGAACAACAUAGAUGUGAGGUGGAAGGAGUCGUCUAAAGAGUGGGAUGGUUUAUUUUAUGGGAGGCUGUUAUAAGACAGAGUCCUAAACAGGAGAAAAGAGUCACCUGUUUGCUCUGUCUUUAUCUACUUUUGGCAAUUGGAGACAGUUCCAAAGAACUGAUGGGCCUGAGUUAGGUCUGGGUCCUUGCCAACCUCCCGUCCUCCUGACCCACCCCUUAAUACCUGGGGGCACCAGGGAUUCAAGCCCAGAUACAGGAGUUGCCAAUUCCGUUAUGGAAAUGACUUGGACAGGUACAAUUUUUAUGUUCCUGUUAGUUCACUUGUGAGCUGGGGUUGGGGAAAAAAGAAUUGCCCAGUGGGGUAUGAAGGACACAAGAGUUCCUAUUCCCUGCUGAGAUUCCAGGAACUCAGGAGGUCAUUGUGUCCUGAAAUGUCCUAAAUGGCCACAAUCCCUGCUGGGUUCCCUCUGGUUUUCUCUUGAGUUGGAUUCCAUUCCCUCCCACUCUUCCUCUCCUGAGGGAGUCACAAGGAAUGGGCCAGCUGGAUGUAUGGAGGGAUUCAGCUUCAUUCAUGAUUCAGAGAUAGAGGGGUGGGGGCUUAGGUGGAUAUCAUUCCAUCCACACCUAUUAGACAGCCCAGAGGAGGGAAGGAAUGUGCCUGUCUGCUGUGUAGCAGAGUGUGUUGUGCACAGUGGAGCUGGGUGAGUUCUUUACUCUGGCUUUACGUCUUGCUGUAAGUGCGUAGCUUUUCUGUAAAGGUGUAUGCUAUGGCUGUAUAUUUAUAAUGUAUCUAUCUCAAGUCUGGGAGUCUCCUUGUCCUCUAAUCUUCUUUAAUCUCUCUUUUUAAUACAUGAAAAAUCACAUACAGGAGAAGACCAGCCCACUCUUCCCAAAUAUCUGCAGAUCCCUGGGGGGCUUUUGAAUGAUCAUCUCUCCCUAUGAUUUCCUCUUCCUGCACCACUGCUAUUCUCAUUGGUACCUUGUUCUCUGCAGCUAUUCUGUCAGCUUUGAAUCCCCACUGCCCCCAUACCAGACUUAGUCUCCUUUCUCUGAGUCCCCCCUGUUGUGGGAGACAAGUUCUUGCUGAAGGCUUGGGUUGACAUCACAGCAUGACAAACAGUUUUGUAUUGACUAUUAAUCACUCACAGCCUAAGUUUAUUGGCCAUGGCUGACAGAAUUUCUCACUAUCCAACCUCCUCUCAGGCCUCGUCCUCCCACGAGGCUUCUCUCCCUGGACUGUCUCCUGGCUAUUGUCUCUCACCUCUGGCCCCUUUUGUAAUUUCUUUCACUUUUUGAGGACACUCAUUCAUUUACAAAACAAGUAUUUAUUGAGUGCUUACCACCUGCCAGGCACUGGUCUGCACACCAGUUAGUUUAGUUUUCCUGUCUCCUGUUGCCUAGGAGAACCUUAGUCCUCUCCAGCAAAGACCAUUCAGAGGUGCUCAGGAUGUAUUUGUAAGAAAAAAAAAAGACAGAAAGAAAGAAAAACAAAGACAAAGCCCCCCAAAAAACAAAAUAAUGAAAAACAUCUGUCCCUGGAUGAAAGCUGUCAAUCUCCUACAUGACAGGAGGGCUAGCUUUGGGAGAAGUGUCCCAAGCAGCAGGAAUGUGAACAGGUGAGGCUUCCAGCCCACAGGAGCCUGCAGAGAGUGUGCGAGACUGAAUUGGAAGGAUGCCCACAGUGUGGUUUUCUGUGCCUCUGUUGCCUUCUCAAGUCUCCUGAGUGACAUUCUGGGCUUAGGGCUUGGAGCCAUGUGGGUCAUCUAUCCAGGAGAGGUAGGCACUCGGGUGACUUGAAAAAGAAUCUUCCCUUGCAAGGUCCAUGUCCCUGCAACCACUGCCCCCUCACCUUCCCCAGCCCACUUUUUCUAUGACCUUGGGAGAGUGUACUUCCGGGCGACAGUGAUGCCAAAAUAAAUACCACGCCGGUGCUGGCACUGAACCCUGGAAAAACACUUGCCAAAGAGCAAAGUAUAAUAAUGCCCCCAGGCAGGGAAAGGUGGAUCAAUGGAUUUGGGGACAGAUGAAGGAUAGAGGGAGAAUGGGAGCUGAAGGACGAUUCUUUUGGCAAGGUAGCCUGAGCCUUGUGUGGGCUACUGAGGAUGGUUCCCUCUGGGGUUUAAGGAUGAGCGUACAACUCUCAGAUUUCUGGGGGAACAUUUGGAAACUUCCACUACAUGUUCCUGCUGUGGCCCUAUUUCUCUAUCUGCAGGAGGGAAUGGCUUGGUUUCUUGGAGACACCUCCCUCCUUAGAUGAGAAGGGACCCAGUGAGUGAGGGAGGUCAUGAAAUCAUUCUCCCUGGCUGGGGUGGAGGGUUGAAAUGGAGUCCCGGGUAGUGUCCUCUUCUCUUAGGGUUGACAAGGGACAUCUAGCAAUGACCAGUGAACACCUAUGCCUGUAAGAUGUCUCUGUGUCUGUGCACACCUGUGCCUGUCUCUGUGAUCCACAACUGUAACUUUGAGUGUGGUACAUUCAGCAAGCCUCACCCAGCUUUGGGAGAGACAGACACUUGGAAGAAUAUAAACAACUCCACUACAUUCUACUGGGAAACCUGAGGGAGGUUAGCUCCUGCAAGUGUUUUCUGUCUAGUUCCUCAUACCUGUCUCUCCCUGUGAGCCACAGCUUAGCUCAAGGGGCAGACUUGCUCACACUCACCUGUCUUUUCACCUUUUUCUUUCCCUUUCAUUGUGCCACAUGUAGUUUCUCAGUCUUUUUCUCCCCUGUGCAACUAUUGCCUGCUUUAAAUUCAUUCUGUUUUAAAUAGUGAGUUUGAUUUCUGUUUUCCAAGUUGGGCCCUGGCUGGGAUAGAGUAGUGAUCAGAACGGACUAGGUGCCCGUAGUCAUGGAACUUAUAUCUUUGCUUGGGGUUGUGGGGAGGACACAGAAAAUAACUAUAAUAUGCCAGGAGGUGAUGACGGAGAUAGGUGAUGGAGAAUCCCAUGCUGGGGAUGGGGGGAAGGGAAGACCCUUUUGAUGAAGUGGCAUCUGGGCUGCAGAAGGUGAGGAAGUGAGUGCGGCUGGUAUCUGAGAGAAGAGUCUGCCUGGCAAAAGUCCCAAGGGGCAGCAUCCUGGCACGCUGGAAGCAGUGAGAAUACUGCAUGGCAGAGUGGAGUGAGUGGGAGGGGUGGUGGUAGGAAAUGCAGUGGAAGAAGCAGUGGGGGGCAGACCAUUCAGGAUACUGCAGACCACUGUGAGCACUUUGGCUUUUACCCUGAGUGAGAAGCAAAACCACUGGAGGAUUCUGGGUAGAGAAGGGAUGUGAUCUGACUUAUAUUUAAGAAGGACCACUUAAAAUUAGCCAGAUGUAGUGGUGUGCACCUGUAGUCCCAGCUACUUGGGAGGCUGAGGUGGGAGGACGGCUUGAACCUAGGAGGCAGAGGUUGCAGUGAGCUAAGAUCAUGCCACUGCACUCCAGCCUGGGCGACAAAGCAAGGCUGUCUCAAAAAAAAAAAAAAAUUAGAUCAUUUUAGCUGCUGAGUGGAGAAUAGACUGAAGAAGCAGAGAGACCAGUUUAUCUACCCAGCUUGCUACAUGUAACAGAAAAUCUAAGAUUUUUUUUUUUUCAUCUUAAAAAAAUCCAGAGGUCACGGUUGAGAGCUGGAAAGGUAGCUUCCCAAAGUCAUCAAGGAUGCAGGCUUCUGUAUUGCUGUUUCACCAUCCUGAGUUUUGGCUUUCACCCUCCUGGAUACUUCAUGGUCUCUAGUGAGUGCUGAAACUAUGGACCCUGGACCCACUCUGAAGGGAGCAGAAGGAGCUGGUCUGCCCCCCUUUAACAAGUCUUCUCAUCAGUCUCAUUCAGCAUUUCUGAUUCCAUCCCAACCACCACAUGGGAGACACAUGGCCACACCUAGCUGCAAGAGAAGCCAGGAAAUAUAGCUUAUCUGUUACACAUAUUGUCCAGGUUUUUGUCCCUGAGGAAGAAGGGGAGGAUGGAUUUUGGAUGGCAGUUAGCAUCCUCUACCACCCAGUUGGAAGGCUCUUGUAAUAAUCCCAGGGAGAGGUAAUGUUGGCUUUUACCAGUUGGUAGUGGAACAGAUGGUGCAGGUGGUCAGAAUCUAUAAUAUUUUGAAGGUAAAUCUGACAGCAUUUGCUGAAAAAUUGUGUGUGUGUGAGAGAGAGACAGAGAGAGAGAGAGAGGAAUUUCUGCUAUGGAAUAAAUGUUUGUGCCCCCCUAAAAUUCAUAUUUUGAAGUUCUAAUCCCCAAUGUGAUGGUAUUUGGAGGUGGGGCCUUUGGGAACUGAUUAGGUCAUGAGAGUGGAGCCCCCAUGCAUGGGAUUAGUGCCCAUUAUGAGAAGAGACCUCAAAGAGAUGACUGUUUCUCUGCCAUGUGAAGAUACAACAAAAAAGGAGGCUGUUGUCUGCAAACCAGGAAGCAGUCCCUCACCAGACACUGAAUCUGCUGGCACUUUGAUCUUGGAUUUUCCUGCUUCUACAAUGGCGAGAAAUAAACGUUUGUUGUUUAAGCCACUCAGUCUACCGUAAUUUGUUAUAUCAGCCCAAGCUGAUAAGCUUUGACUAAGAUCAAAGGGAGGAUGAUGCCAGGUUUUUGGCCCGAGCAGCUACAAGAAUGGGGUUGCUAUGGACUGAACUGAGAAAGGCUCUUGAAGGAGCCCCGUUGGUGAGGGAGUGUUGUCUUGGCUGUGUGAAGUUUGAGAGGCUUAAUAGACAUCUUGGUGGAGCUUUAAAGCAGGCAGUUUGAUACAUAAGGCUAAAGUUCUGGGGGUGUUUCUGGGCUGGAUGAUGUUUACAGCCAAAAGAUUGCAUGGGACUACCUUGGGCAUGGUACAG